AUUGAACGCUGGCGGCAUGCCUUACACAUGCAAGUCGAACGGUAACAGGUCUUCGGAUGCUGACGAGUGGCGCACGGGUGAGUAAUACAUCGGAACGUGCCCGAUCGUGGGGGAUAACGAGGCGAAAGCUUUGCUAAUACCGCAUACGAUCUACGGAUGACAGCGGGGGAUCUUCGGACCUCGCGCGGCCGGAGCGGCCGAUGGCAGAUUAGGUAGUUGGUGGGAUAAAAGCUUACCAAGCCGACGAUCUGUAGCUGGUCUGAGAGGAUGAUCAGCCACACUGGGACUGAGACACGGCCCAGACUCCUACGGGAGGCAGCAGUGGGGAAUUUUGGACAAUGGGCGAAAGCCUGAUCCAGCCAUGCCGCGUGCAGGAUGAAGGCCUUCGGGUUGUAAAAUGCUUUUGUACGGAACGAAAAGCCUCUUUCUAAUAAAGAGGGGUCAUGACGGUACCGUAAGAAUAAGCACCGGCUAACUACGUG
rnacentral:rRNA from 1 species